GAGGGUAUAGCUCAGUGGUUAGAGCACAUGCUUAUCAUACACAAGGUCCUGGGUUCAAUUCCCAGUACCUCCA
rnacentral:tRNA from 1 species